CGGGGCGUAGCGCAGCCUGGAUAGCGCACACGCUUGGGGUGCGUGUGGUCGGUGGUUCAAAUCCACUCGCCCCGACCA
rnacentral:tRNA from 1 species